rnacentral:sRNA from 1 species
GUGGGUGGGGGGGGGGGGGGGGUAUGGCAUGAGGCGAUUGGUUAUUGUAACUGUACAGAUAUGCAGUGUUUGAUGGUGACUGCUUGUUUGGGGAGUUAAAUUUUAUAGUUGUAUUUACAAGUACAUUCAUAAACUCCAACUACUUGGUGUUGUGUUAACAAGGUAUUGGUAUGUUUGACUUGUCAGUAAGUGUAUAAUUUAGGCAUGGUUUGUUUCUCUAAAUGAGUGACUUGUUCAGGCCUUAUAUUGAAAGCUUUCAGAUAAAUCUAUGUUAUUAGAGCAAGUUUAGUAAACCAGCAAAGCAAAGAUGCAAAAUAGUAUCAAUUUUAUUUUGAAUUCCUAUUUGAUGCAAGUAUUUAUUGAUUAUUAGUAUUCACAUGUAAGUCCUUUAAAGAUUUUAAUUUGGCAAAUUCUACAAAUUUUUUAUCAUAUGAAACUGUUUAAAGUACAUGUAUUUCAAUUUUACUGUAUUUGUAUAUGUUUUCGAAACUACAAAUAUAUACUUAAAUCAUUAUCAUUAGUAUUUACUAGUACAUGCAUUUACAAUCUUCUUGGAUGCCCAUUCCCUGUUUUUAAGAGCUCAUGUUACAAUUUUUAAAUCAUAAAAACGAAACACAUGAAUGAUUUUAUAAAUGAUGUUCCAAUUAUUAAACUAUGUUAAAUAAUGAU